AGAGUUUGAUCAUGGCUCAGAUUGAACGCUGGCGGCAUGCCUUACACAUGCAAGUCGAACGGCAGCACGGGGGCAACCCUGGUGGCGAGUGGCGAACGGGUGAGUAAUACAUCGGAACGUGUCCUGUUGUGGGGGAUAACCCAUCGAAAGGUGAGCUAAUACCGCAUGAUCUGGAGACAGCAAAGCAGGGGACUCGCAAGGGCCUUGCGCGAUUGGAGCGGCCGAUGUCCGAUUAGCUAGUUGGUGGGGUAAAGGCCCACCAAGGCGACGAUCGGUAGCUGGUCUGAGAGGAUGAUCAGCCACACUGGGACUGAGACACGGCCCAGACUCCUACGGGAGGCAGCAGUGGGGAAUUUUGGACAAUGGGGGCAACCCUGAUCCAGCCAUGCCGCGUGAGUGAAGAAGGCCUUCGGGUUGUAAAGCUCUUUCGGUGGGAACGAAACGGUUACGACCAAUACUCGUGACUACUGACGGUACUCACAGAAGAAGCACCGGCUAGCUACGUGCCAGCAGCCGCGGUA
rnacentral:rRNA from 1 species